CAUCCAAAACUUUUAAACGAGCUGGCUGAGGAGUUUGGUGGACUGCUAAUGCAGAUUUUUUUCAAAGCAGAAGUACCGAAAUAGGUUUUAAGACGUCCCUCCUGGUCUUGGAAUCUAGGAAAAGAUGAGCGAAGUCACCCCUCUCUGCGCUUGCUUCAGACGGAGUUGAGCCAAACGAGCAAGGUAUCUCAGGUUCGCAGAGGCUUAUGACCCUGGGGGCUUUAUCACGGGGCGCGGAAGGGAGCGGCUCAGUGGUUAUAAGCCGAGGUACAGCUGCCCCCGCGCCCUGUUGCAGUCGCGCCAGUUGCAAGGUGUGUGGUGCGGCGGCUCCCAGCGCGGGAAGCGAAUUCUCCAGUCCCCAAAAUAAACCCACCCCCAGGCGGGGGCUGCAGAGAAAGAACAGCUUACGUGAAGAUUUUUCCAGUAAGGCCUGGGACAAUGCAAGGUUCCUGGUGGCAUCCUUAUUUAGUGUGACUGGAAAACUUUGGCACGGUUAUGAACUUCAUGGUAUGGAAAAAAUUCCAGAAGGGCCAGGGCUUAUAGUUUAUUACCAUGGACCCGUUCCUAUAGACUACUGCUACUUUAUCUAUAAUCUCUACAUACAGAAGAGAAGAGUCUGCUACUCAGUAGUUGAUCACUUCAUUGCUAUGUUACCAGGUGUAGAAAUUUAUUUAAACUUGCUACCUGCACUGCAUAGUGGAAGAGAAGAAUGUGUAGAAAUUCUGAAGAAAGGCAACUUAUUGGGUGUUGCACCAGGUGGAGCUCGAGAAGCAUUCUGUAGCGAUGAAAACUACAACUUCUUGUGGGGUAAUCGCACAGGCUUUGCUCAAGUGGCCAUAGAUGCAAAAGUGGUGAGUGUCUUCUUGUGUGUGGAUAUAAACAUAACCCAUUGAUCAAUGUGUGUAACAUGUCCAUUUCUGUGUCCAAGCCACAAAGAAUGUGAGUCUGUGAAAGCUACUAGCUACAAAGACUAUAUCUUCAACUGAAGUUUUCAAUUCUCAUGGUUUUUGCUCUGGAAGUCCCCAGUUCAGUCUUCCAGAGGGUAGUCAGCACAUUAGCACAAAUGUAUACUCUACAACACAGGGAUUCCAAAGAUCAAUCAAGUAUUUUUGUUUUCAAAUAUAUUUUGUAACAUUGAUUCUCUUUCUAGGAUCAUAAAUGUCUAAGAAGUUUCAAAAUCAUUUUUAUUAACAGGAUUAUUAUAGUCUAAUUGUCAAAUAUAAGAAUAGCAAUCUUAUGAGACUUUGUAAUUGAGGGAUAAUAUAGAGCAGUGUUUCUCAAAGUGGGCCAUGGGCCCGCUUUGGGAAAGCUGUUAGUGGGUCCUCAUUGCUUUGUUUACCUAAAGGCUCUGUCAUCAUGGAGCCUCGCACCUGCCAUUGGCUCUGGUUCAUUGAUUCCAGCGAAGGGGAGCCACAGGACGCUGUGGCCCACUUUGAGAAACACUGAUAUAGAGGACUUCGGUUUGAAUAUUAAUGGGCUCUAGUUAAGUAGACACUUAUUAAUCUGUAAAAAAAGGUGUUGCUUUAUUUUAUCUUUUUUUUUUUAAGCUUUAAGUCCUUGUUUGUUAUAUUUAACGUUUUUUACCAAAGGUUUAGACUGCAUAUAUCAGAAACCUUUUACACAAAAAUCUACAUUACAACACUUACUCAGUUGUAAUCCCAUUAGUGGAAAGGGUUAGCUGAAGAUAUUUUCAGAAGAUUAUUGUAUAUAAAAUAAAUAUAAUGGCUUCACUCCUCCCAUCCUGCAACAAAGAAUACUAAGGCUUGUCUACACUAGUAAUUACUGUGCUAUAACUUUCUUAUUAAGGGGCAUGAAAAAAACACCCCCACCUGCCCAAGCACAGCAAGUUACAGUGCUGUAAAGCACCAGUGUGAACAGGCUCCCAACUCUAAGUGCUGUUCGCUAUUCUCCUCAUGAAGGUGGUUUAUAUAGAGCACUGAGAGAGCCAGGAGUGAUUGGCCCCUGCUGGGGAGGGGGUACAGCGAGGGCCAUCCAGAGGGGUAGGGUGGGGCUUGAGGGCAUGCCAUUUAUCAAUUAAAAUUUUGGUAGGGGCAUGGAGCGGUGCACUUCCCAAGUGCUACCAUGAGUCACCUAUGCUUCCAGCACUGAUGCCAUAACAUAGGUAUUACCUCUCAGGAAGUGGAUUAACUACAGCAUCUCCCAUGGGUGUAAAGGGUCUUCAUUUAAGCAAUGCAAUGACACAGCUGCAUUAGUGCACCUGCACCAAUGCAGCACUUCAACUGUUGACUUCCCUUAGAUCCUUACCCACAUUGCAAAGAUAUUUGUGAUUGAGAUGUUAAUUGGGUUCUUGAACGAAGAUCAUUUAACUAUUUUAAAAAAGAAGUAGGGAAAUAUGAAAAAGAAUACCCAAAAGCUAUCACUGAACUGCAAUUAAUGUUGGCAUGGUGCAAGCUACAUUCUAGAGAGAGAGAUUAAAAUUUUACUCAGAUUUUAUUCAUUCCACAGAAUGGAGUUUAUGUAUAUAUACUAUAAGAAUGACUGCCACAUCUGUGUAUCAAACCAUGAUGAAUAAAGAUGGUCUUGACAAUAUUAUUGUAUCAAAGCAUGACUGCAAUAAAAUAAUUUCUGUUUUUCGAGCUCAAAAAUUUGAAGGUUUACUACCAACACGUUUUUAGUUAGUGUAGGUGACUAAAAUAAUUAUUUCUUAAAGGCCCCAUUUUUAAUUAAUUUAUCAUUUUAUAAAUUGUCAGGCUGGGUUUUCUGAGUCUCCAAGUCACUCUUUAGUUAUAAUUACAUGCUGUAAACGUGGGUGUUCUUCAUAUAAAGCAAACAGGUUGAAUCCUCACUUCAAGUGAAAAACUGAGCAGAUGUCCUACCGUCUGUCUCUAAUAUAAAUGUCAUAUCCCUACAAGACUGUUGUCCCUGAAAUUACUGCCACGUCAGUAAUGCAGCAUGGAAGGAGACAUAGUAAUUUGGCAUUAUCUGAACAUACAAAAUUUUGGGCAGAAAAGUACAUUAAUGGACUAGGAAUGCUAAAUUCUCCCUGCAGAAGGCAGUUUUAGGAAUAAACAAUAGCAAUUUACAUGCAGUAUCUCAAAACCUUUCUUAAAAACUUUGGCCCAAAGCUUGGGCUGUAUCUGAUCUGUUCUCCAUGCUUUUCAAGAUAGGAGUUGCAGAAGUAAAUGUGUCACCUUUGUUCUCUGUUUAUUCCAGGGGUAUUGGGCCUCCAUGUUGGUGAAGCUUUGAGGGUGCUCUAUUUUAAGGAGGCUGUUCUUGGCUUCAAGGGACCAUAAUGGCAACUCUAGAUCUCCAUGAUAUAGACACCCACAGGUCAUGCUUCCUCCUCAGCUACCUCCAACCCCAGUGCUAGGGGUUGGAGGAGAAGGUGUAAGAGAGCUGUUCUGAUGGCUUUAGAUCAACCAAGCACUCCUCACAGGCAGAGGAACUCCACAUGUGGUUGGUUAAGUCAUCUUUAGGAAGAACUGGUGCAAAAGAGGCACCAGUAGCCCAUCAUCCCUUUGUUUACACAGAAUAUUCAUGAAGGAUUUAAAGCACUUGGAAAAAUAUCGUUUUUUAG